rnacentral:lncRNA from 1 species
AUCCGGUCCAACCUUUGCCCUACUACCAAUGUCACCCCUUAAACCAUGUCCCUAAGCACCACACCCAACCUUUCCUUAAACACCCUCAGAGAUGGUGAUGCCACCACUUCUCUGGGCAACCCAUUCCAAUGCCUGACUGCUCUUUCUGAGAAGAAAUGUCUCCCAAUUUCUAACCUAAACCUCCCCUGGCCCGACUUGAGGCCAUUCCCUCUAGUCUUAUCACUAGUUACCUGUGAGAAGAGGCCGACCCCCAGCUCCCCACAUCUUCCUUUCAGGUAGUUGUAGAGAGCAAUAAGGUCUCCCCUGAGCCUCCUCUUCUCCAGACCAAACAACCCCAGUUCCCUCAGCCACUCCUCACAGGACUUGCGCUCCAGGCCCUUCACCAGCUUCGGAGCCCUUCUCUGGACACGCUCCAGGGCCUCGAUGUCCUUCUUGUAGUGAGGGGCCCAAAACUGAACAGAGUACUCCAGGUGCAGCCUCACCAGAGCAGAGUACAGGGGGAUGAUCACCUCCCUGGUCCUGCUGGCUACACUAUUCCUGAUACAAGCCAGGAUGCCGUUGGCCUUCUUGGCCACCUGGGCACACUGCCGGCUCAUGUUCAGGUGAGCAUCAACCAAUGCCCCCAGAUCCUUUUCCUCUGCACAGCUUUCCAGCCACUCUGCCCCAGGCCUGUAACAUUGCAUGGGGUUGUUGUGACCAAAGUGCAGGUCCAAGCACUUAGCCAUGUUGAACCUCAUCCCACUGGCCUUUGCCCAUCGACCCAUCCUGUCCAGGUCCCUCUGCAAGGCCUUCCUACCCUCCAGCAGAUCGACACUUACUGCCAACUUGGUGUCAUCUGCAAACUUACUAAGGGUGCAAUCAAUUCCCUCACCCAAAUCAUCAAUAAAGACAUUAAAGAGGAUGGGCCCCAGCACCGACCCCUGGGGAACACCACCAGUGACCAAUCACCAUCUGGAUUUCACUCUAUUUACCACUACUCUCCAGGCCUGUCCAUCCAGCCAGUUUUU